GGAGUUAGCCGGUGCUUCUUCUGCGAGUAACGUCACAGAUGUAAGGUAUUAACUUACACCCUUUCCUCCUCGCUGAAAGUGCUUUACAACCCGAAGGCCUUCUUCACACACGCGGCAUGGCUGCAUCAGGGUUUCCCCCAUUGUGCAAUAUUCCCCACUGCUGCCUCCCGUAGGAGUCUGGGCCGUGUCUCAGUCCCAGUGUGGCUGAUCAUCCUCUCAGACCAGCUAGGGAUCGUCGCCUAGGUGAGCCUUUACCUCACCUACUAGCUAAUCCCACCUGGGCUUAUCCAUCAGCGCAAGGCCCGAAGGUCCCCUGCUUUCCCCCGUAGGGCGUAUGCGGUAUUAGCAGUCGUUUCCAACUGUUAUCCCCCACAAAUGGGCAAAUUCCCAGGCAUUACUCACCCGUCCGCCGCUCGUCAUCUUCAAAAGCAAGCUUUUGAAAUGUUACCGCUCGACUUGCAUGUGUUAGGCCUGCCGCCACGCGUUCAUCUGAGCCACUAGUACUAACUAACCUACGUACGUACGUAGGACGGCGGUCGGUCGGACGGACGGACGACGUAGUAG
rnacentral:rRNA from 1 species